CCUACGGGCGGCAGCAGUGGGGAAUAUUGGACAAUGGGGGCAACCCUGAUCCAGCCAUGCCGCGUGUGUGAAGAAGGCCCUCGGGUUGUAAAGCACUUUCAGUGAGGAAGAACGCCUGGUGGUUAAUACCCAUCAGGAAAGACAUCACUCACAGAAGAAGCACCGGCUAACUCCGUGCCAGCAGCCGCGGUAAUACGGAGGGUGCGAGCGUUAAUCGGAAUUACUGGGCGUAAAGCGCGCGUAGGUGGCUUGAUAAGCCGGUUGUGAAAGCCCCGGGCUCAACCUGGGAACGGCAUCCGGAACCGUCAAGCUAGAGUGCAGGAGAGGAAGGUAGAAUUCCCGGUGUAGCGGUGAAAUGCGUAGAGAUCGGGAGGAAUACCAGUGGCGAAGGCGGCCUUCUGGACUGACACUGACACUGAGGUGCGAAAGCGUGGGUAGCAAACAGGAUUAGAUACCCUUGUAGUC
rnacentral:rRNA from 1 species